GACGAACGCUGGCGGCGUGCCUAAUACAUGCAAGUUGAGCGCUGAAGGUUGGUACUUGUACCAACUGGAUGAGCAGCGAACGGGUGAGUAACGCGUGGGGAAUCUGCCUUUGAGCGGGGGACAACAUUUGGAAACGAAUGCUAAUACCGCAUAAAAACUUUAAACACAAGUUUUAAGUUUGAAAGAUGCAAUUGCAUCACUCAAAGAUGAUCCCGCGUUGUAUUAGCUAGUUGGUGAGGUAAAGGCUCACCAAGGCGAUGAUACAUAGCCGACCUGAGAGGGUGGUCGGCCAAAUUGGGACUGAGACAAGGCCCAAACUCCUACGGGAGGCAGCAGUAGGGAAUCUUCGGCAAUGGACGAAAGUCUGAACGAGCAACGCCGGGUGAGUGAAGAAGGUUUUCGGAUCGUAAAACUCUGUUGGUAGAGAAGAACGUUGGUGAGAGUGGAAAGCUCAUCAAGUGACGGUAACUACACAGAAAGGGACGGCUAACUACGUG
rnacentral:rRNA from 1 species